CGAGAUGGUUCCUACAACACCCCCGCCUGCUGAGUGCUGCCCGCUGCUGACCUGUUGCCUCUGCUGCUGCUAGGGGCUGAGGGCAGGGGAGGGCGUGCUGUCCAUACCCUACAGUAGGAGCAGGACCCACGUGCAUUACUGAACACGGGAUUAGAAAAAAGAACCCUGCUUUGGCCUUCACGUUAGGUGGUGUGAUGUGCGGCGGACCAUAACAUACUUGUUCUGCCAGUGACCCACACCAGCCUCAUGCCGGGGAUGAGCAGGAUAGAACACUUCCGGCUGGUCACCAAAAACCAGCUCAGCUCAGACCAGCGCCAGCUCUUCGACCUGGUGCUGGCCGCUGGCUUCACCAUUCACCCUCAGAUCUUCAAGGUGUUGAUGGACCUGCUGGCCUUGAAUGUGCCGCCCCACGCCAUCCUCAGCCUUCUCCGGGAGGUCAGUGACAAGAUUCCCUACAACCGGAAUACAGACGUCAACGAGAACUUGCCAGUGGGGAACCAGACUGGUGGCAGCCAUACCUAAGCAGCCGCCACAACACCCCAGGUGCUCACCUCACCUGCACCACACCAGGAACUUUUCUCACAGGUCAUGGAAUGAAGCUGGCAUGACUAGUGAGGAUCUCCUUGGUGUGUUCUUACUAUGACUGUUCACAUGAUGUUCAAAACAUAGUGACCUGAUUGUAUGGAACCCCAUUUUGCUGACUGCCUGCUGGUGGAUGGCACUUCAGACAGUCACUUAACCCCUUCACUCCAGCGACGUCGGAGUCCGACGGCAUCACUGUAUGGAGAGGGUUAGUCCUCUUCUAAACCUCUUAAGAGGAAAUGGAAGAGGAAUUUAGAGGAGGAUUGAGAGGUUUAGAAGAGGAUUAAUCCUUAUCCAUUUCCUCUUGACCCUUUCCAUACUGUGACGCCGACGUCUGCGUCACGGAUGGAAAGGGUUAAACGUGCUGGGCUCAUAACCUUGAGGUUCUACCAUCCACUCAAAUUUGGUAAAUAUUUUACCCCUUUGUCCUCUACAAAUUAUUAAAGAAAAACUAAAAUUGACUAUAUCCUUAAAAAGUUUAAGAAACUGAUUAUGUAUUUUUUUCAUGAAUAUAGUUGUCAUGUUCAGACUGUUUACUUUAAUUUCUAAGUUAGAAAUAUUAACACUCAUCAGUAUGAUAGGAUCUGAUGAGUUUUUUUAACUUUGCCAAAACCUUGAAAUUAAAAGACCAAACAAUGUAGGUAACCACACUGAGCUGCCGUCACCUGCCUGAGUAGGGGAAGUAGCGUGGCUUGUGGCUCCUUUAGCUGUGAUGUCUGUCAGGCCAUGUCCACUAGUCUCCGAGGCUCAGUCAGCCAAAAAUGCAUAAAUAUAAGCAACAGGAAAGUGGAAUAGUAUUGGGAUUUGUUUGACAGGAUUAUGCAUUGAAAAGUGCCAGGUAUAAUAAGCAAUAAAUUAGCUGUGAGGUUUCCUAGAUCUUGUUCAGACCAAGUUGGUUCCUUUGGACUUCCAGAUGGUGGGAGGGAGAGGUGUACCCAGUGUGGGGUUGGAGGUGCUUGUGGUGGUGCUCUGCUCAAGUACAAAAUGGCCUGAUGCUCACUUUUUUAUUCCUUUGUUUUUAAUAUUCAAGGGAAUGCUAAGAUAUUUAAAGUAGAAGUUGAUAGUUGUACUUGCUCCUCUAUUUUAAUGAGUCUGAUGGCCCUGGCAAGUUCACAAGGACAGCCUAAGAAUUCUAGCAGGCUGAGUCCUUAGUAGCCUGUGAGGGCAUAGCUCAAAAUUCAAGGCCAAAUGAUUCUUGUAGCAUCUAGUUGGGGUCCACAAGGACAAGUUUACACCAUGAUCACAACCACCUUUUAGUAAGAAUCCAAUAAAAGAUUUUAUCAUACAUAUUCUAUUUGUAGAAUAUUUUACUAAAUAUGUAUCUGAGUGUUAUUUAAAAGUAUAGCAGAUUUUUAAGAGAAAUAUUUUCUAUGUUUAAAGAAGACAAAUUGAAUGCGAGGUGUAUUGUGAAUACAGAGUGAAGUGCAGAUA